GUAUAAUUUAUUUCUCACGCAUUAUCCCACCAUCUUUCUUCUUGGUUCCUUGUUGUGUGCUUCUGUCAACAAGCAGAGUGUCUCUUUUUAUUUAAUCAUCACUGUCUCUUCUUGUAUUAAGACCGGACAAUGAUCAUAAGACGGGGGAAAGGAUGACGUGGGAACUCAAAAUGUCAAGAAGAAAUGAAUGAAGGCAAAGCUGUCUUCGUUAUUAGGUCUCUAUCAAAGAGCAAGUUGGGGUUCUAUCCAGCCACAUCAAAUGUUCCAAUUAAUGUACACAUCAUUAGAUUUUAGCCCCACCAUCUAUAUAUCAUGUAUAUGUAUCUUUUUCUGAUAAACUGGGUAUCCGGCGGGGGGAAAGCCCAACUAA